rnacentral:sRNA from 1 species
GGUAGCUCACACUGCUGCAUAAAGAGAUACCACUUCACAUAAAUUCACAGGACAUUUACUGGUAAAAAACAGUGUUUAUGACAUUUUAAAUGUGACGGUAAACAUCUAUAUUCAGUAAUGACUGCUGGGAUAGAGCCAAGUUUUGAUUUAGGGGUGCAUAAUCUUGUUCUUACUGCCAAAUAAAGAUAAAAAGGUUACACACUAUCUCGGAUAAGCUGACAGUCUUAUACCACCUUUUGUUGUCUUUUCUUUUUCUUAAAUAAAAAAUGAUUUGAUUCAGAAAUUGAUGGUUUUACUGUAAACCAAUGUUUAUUUACAGCAACUUUUUUUUGUGAUUUCUGGUUUAUAAAACUGAUUUUUGCAACUGAGCCAAUAUAUAUAU